UACGAAGGGUGCAAGCGUUAAUCGGAAUUACUGGGCGUAAAGCGUGCGUAGACGGUAGCGUAAGUCGGGUGUGAAAGCCCCGGGCUCAACCUGGGAAUUGCAUUCGAGACUGCUCUGCUAGGGUGCGGAAGAGGGAAGCGGAAUUUCCGGUGUAGCGGUGAAAUGCGUAGAUAUCGGAAGGAACACCAGUGGCGAAAGCGGCUUCCUGGUCCAGCACCGACGUUCAGGCACGAAAGCGUGGGGAGCAAACAGG
rnacentral:rRNA from 1 species